CUAACCAAAACAGGGGAUCUCUGGCAUAACGUGACAUUUUCUAACGCUCCCAUAGGCUCUCAGAAGGCGCCAGAACGAUGAAUGGUGACUUUGCAGGCCAUGGCUGAAAAACAGUAGCGCAUUUGGAUAGUGGUCGAUCUGAGGACAAUGAGACUGGAGGCGCGUGGACGAGCCGACACCAUGUUUACAUUGGUGGUCGGAAUAUUAUCGCUUUUUUACGAGAAAAAUCGCAUAAAAAUUGAUUUUAAACAGCGUUUGACAUGCUUCGAAGUACGGUAAUGGAAUAUUUUGAAUUUUUUUGUCACGAAACGCGUCGGGCGCGUCACCCUUCUUUACCCUUCGGAUAGUGUCUUGAAUGCACGAACAAAACGCCGCUAUUUGGAUAUAACUAUGGAUUGUUUGGAACCAAACCAACAUUUGUUAUUGAAGUAGAAGUCCUGGGAGUGCAUUCUGACGAAGAACAGCAAAGAACUGACCACAAAGAUGAUGAUGAAGACUGUAAUCUUUCUGGGCUGCCUCCUGGGCCUGUCAUUGGCUCUUCCUGCUGAAGUGGAUCACUUGAGAGUUGCACGUUCCAGCUCUGACUCCAACUCUAACUCAAACUCCAAGGAGGCUGGUGGUUCCUUCCUGCCCUCCCUGCCAAAGUUGAAUUCAAAUCAGCUACUUCAACUGCUACUUAAACUGUUUGCUGCCUCUGCCCCAGCACCAGCCCCUGCCCCAGCUCCUGCACCUUCCCCUGCUCCUGCCCC
rnacentral:lncRNA from 1 species